UGGGGAAUUUUGGACAAUGGGCGCAAGCCUGAUCCAGCCAUGCCGCGUGCAGGAUGAAGGCCUUCGGGUUGUAAACUGCUUUUGUACGGAACGAAAAGGUGCCUUCUAAUAAAGGGCGCUCAUGACGGUACCGUAAGAAUAAGCACCGGCUAACUACGUGCCAGCAGCCGCGGUAAUACGUAGGGUGCGAGCGUUAAUCGGAAUUACUGGGCGUAAAGCGUGCGCAGGCGGUUUUGUAAGACAGAGGUGAAAUCCCCGGGCUCAACCUGGGAACUGCCUUUGUGACCGCAAGGCUGGAGUGCGGCAGAGGGGGAUGGAAUUCCGCGUGUAGCAGUGAAAUGCGUAGAUAUGCGGAGGAACACCGAUGGCGAAGGCAGUCCCCUGGGCCUGUACUGACGCUCAUGCACGAAAGCGUGGGGAGCAAACA
rnacentral:rRNA from 1 species